rnacentral:tRNA from 12 species
UGCGAAUAAGUGUUUAGGUAGCACAUAAGGCUCAUGAUCUUAAGGAGAUUGUUCAAUUCAAUCAUUCGCAC